GAUCAUGGCUCAGGAUGAACGCUGGCGGCGUGCUUAACACAUGCAAGUCGAGCGAAGCACUUAAGUUUGAUUCUUCGGAUGAAGACUUUUGUGACUGAGCGGCGGACGGGUGAGUAACGCGUGGGUAACCUGCCUCAUACAGGGGGAGUAACAGUUAGAAAUGGCUGCUAAUACCGCAUAAGACCACGGUACUGCAUGGUACAGUGGUAAAAACUACCGGUGGUAUGAGAUGGACCCGCGU
rnacentral:rRNA from 1 species